UAUUGUACGUUUGAAAAUUCUAAAGUCGUCGUGGAAAGUUAUGAACGGGACUAUUUUAAAAAGGGUUGGAAUGUGCAAGUGGUUAUAAAAAUUAGUUAUGAAUAUUAUUGCAUGGAAAUAUUGAGAAAGGUUAAGGGUAAAAAUGAAAAUUCACAAAAUGGCUUGUGGUAAUAUUGAGAAAAAUCGAGGGGCAAAAUGGGAAUUUCACAAAAGUUUAUAAAAUUUCCAUGUUGGUUGUGUGGCAUAAGUAUAUGCCCACAUUGCUUUGGGGGCUAAAGUGUACCAAGGAAAACAUUUGGUCUUCUUUGACCAAAUAAAGCAAUUCAAAAAAAAAAAAAAAAAAAAAAAAAGAUGAAGAGAAUGGAAAGGUGAGGGUUCGGCCCUAGACAUGGAAAAUUGGCUCUAUGAAAUCUUGCCCCAAAAAUUAUUUUCUUGUGGUAUUCCUACUAAUUCAAGGGCCCUCUACAACGUGGUGUAAUUGUUUCGGAAGAUAGGCCAUCCGUUUCAUUGUUUUCCGCACUUUGGUUGAGUAAAGAAGUUGGGAGGCAAAGACAAACAAGUUGGAUGCACAAGCGUAACUAGUUGGUCGCGGCACAGGUACUCCCAGACGAGAUAAGGACACUAUAAAAGAUAUUUCAGCAGUGGUGGCGAACUCCAUUUGCUCUUGGAGGACUGCCAAGUCAGGGUAUGGCAUAUGUGCUAUGGUUUCUGUAUGGUGUUAGAGACUUUGCAGACAGCGUCGUGGGUAUGGUGUGUCAGUCUGUAAGCGGCUCCAUCCGCCGAUAUGUUGGUCUGUGUUAUGUAUUGAACUUUGUACGACUAUAGAUUUGUUUGCUUGGAAGCUUCG